rnacentral:misc_RNA from 1 species
GAUGAAGAACGUAGCAAAAUGCGAUAAGUAGUGUGAAUUGCAGAAUUCAGUGAAUCAUCGAAUCUUUGAACGCACAUUGCGCCCCUUGGUAUUCCAUGGGGCAUGCCUGUUCGAGCGUCAUUUGUACCCUCAAGCUUUGCUUGGUGUUGGGCGUCUUGUCUCUAGCUUUGCUGGAGACUCGCCUUAAAGUAAUUGGCAGCCGGCCUACUGGUUUCGGAGCGCAGCACAAGUCGCACUCUCUAUCAGCAAAGGUCUAGCAUCCAUUAAGCCUUUUUUUCAACUUUUGACCUCGGAUCAGGUAGGGAUACCCGCUGAACUUAAGCAUAUCAAUAAGCGGAGGA